UACGGGGGGAGCAAGCGUUGUUCGGAUUUACUGGGCGUAAAGGGCUCGUAGGUGGCCAACUAAGUCAGACGUGAAAUCCCUCGGCUUAACCGGGGAACUGCGUCUGAUACUGGAUGGCUUGAGUUUGGGAGAGGGACGCGGAAUUCCAGGUGUAGCGGUGAAAUGCGUAGAUAUCUGGAGGAACACCGGUGGCGAAGGCGGCGUCCUGGACAGUUCCUGACGCUGAGGCACGAAGGCCAGGGGAGCAAACGGG
rnacentral:rRNA from 1 species